rnacentral:rRNA from 2 species
GGGAUACCCGCUGAACUUAAGCAUAUC